rnacentral:lncRNA from 1 species
CAGAACUGCAGCCAUCUGGAAUGCUGUCUCAGUCCACUCUGUGCCACUAUAACAAAAUGUCUGAGGCUGGAUCCCUGGUAACAAAAAGAGGUUCAUGUAGCUCAGAGUUUGGAGGUCCAAGAACGUGGUGCUGGCUUCAGCUUCUGGUGAAAAGGCAUGGUGGAGAGUCUCACACGGCAGGAUCACCUGUGACAGAGGGGUCACGAGGAAGCAAGAGAGAGAGUUGCAAAAGCCAAACUUACAUUAUAACAACUUGCUCUCAUGACAACUAAGCCAAGUCCCACAAGACCUAACUGUGUUAGUCAACUUGCCGUAGCUGUGACAAAAUACCCAAGAUAAGCAACAUGGAGGAAAGAGUUACUCUGGCCCAGGGUUUCAGAGGUCCCAGUCCCUGGUUGGCUGGCCUGUUGCCUCUGGACCUGUGCUGAGGGGCGUACUGUGGUGGAGGGUGGUGGCACGAUGCUGGUCUCCUCGUGGUGUCCAGGCAGCAAAGGCAGAGAGGAAGAGGCCAGUGUCUCAAGGGCACAUCCCAUCCUUCCUCCCACCUGCCUUCUAAAGGUUCCACCUCCUCCAAGUGCCACCGCAGGCUGGGGACCAAGCCUUCAGCAAUUGGUCUUUGGGGGACUUUUCAGAUCCCAACCAUCACACUAACCCACUCCCACACGGUGGUGUUGAUCCCUCUGAGAGUGGUGUGCUCAGUGACAGUCACCCCAAUGGGGUCUCACCCCUUCAGUACCAUCACUCUGGGGUUCAAGCGUCCCGCAUAGAACUGUGGGGACAAGUCGUAGCUGAACCAAAGCCAGUGCCAGGUAAUAAGGGUAAAGGGGAAUCAGUUUGCUCGGGGACAGUGUGGCUCUGUGUAUCCCAUCUAAGAAUCGCCAGACCCAGGGAGGGCACCCCAGGGCUGUGGUAGACGUAUGAGUUUAGUUUGGACGCCUGGUCCUUCUUGAUGGGAUUUACAGAGGAGCCUUGGCCUCUGCUCCCACUGUCCUGUGCCCCCAAGCACUUCCCUCAUGCAAAUCAUCACUGCUGGGUGGGUGGGGGAUGCCCGCGGACAGCUGUAACAGGUGCCCUUUAAAGAUGUGGCCCAGCGACUUCUGGUGCUUCCAGAAAAUCGAGCCAUUUCAUCAUUGUAAAAUGACCUCUAUUCCAAGGCUCCACUGCUCAAUAGAGGAUUUCCUGGCAAGUCCAUCUGACCCACAAGGAAAUGUCAGUUCCUGGCCAGAGGUGGGCAAGAGGCUGGAAGCACCCAGCGACCACUCUGCUCAGCUGGUAACGAGCCUCCACGUUCCAUUGCUUGGGGCUUUCUGGGUCUGUUACCUGGCAAGGCUGCAGGGGUGGUGCUGGGAG